rnacentral:rRNA from 1 species
CGGACGGGUGAGUAACGCGUGAGAAUCUGGCUUCAGGUCUGGGACAACCACUGGAAACGGUGGCUAAUACCGGAUGUGCCGAGAGGUGAAAGGUUAACUGCCUGAAGAUGAGCUCGCGUCUGAUUAGCUAGUUGGAAGUGUAAUGGACUCCCAAGGCGACGAUCAGUAGCUGGUCUGAGAGGACGAUCAGCCACACUGGGACUGAGACACGGCCCAGACUCCUACGGGAGGCAGCAGUGGGGAAUUUUCCGCAAUGGGCGAAAGCCUGACGGAGCAAUACCGCGUGAGGGAGGAAGGCUCUUGGGUCGUAAACCUCUUUUCUCAGGGAAGAACAAAAUGACAGUACCUGAGGAAUAAGCAUCGGCUAACUCCGUGCCAGCAGCCGCGGUAAUACGGAGGAUGCAAGCGUUAUCCGGAAUGAUUGGGCGUAAAGCGUCCGCAGGUGGCUAUGUAAGUCUGCUGUUAAAGAGUCUAGCUCAACUAGAUAAGAGCAGUGGAAACUACAAGGCUAGAGUACGUUCGGGGCAGAGGGAAUUCCUGGUGUAGCGGUGAAAUGCGUAGAGAUCAGGAAGAACACCGGUGGCGAAGGCGCUCUGCUAGGCCGUAACUGACACUGAGGGACGAAAGCUAGGGGAGCGAAUGGGAUUAGAUACCCCAGUAGUC